UAUAUGUGAACUGGCAUGAUAUAUUUUUAUAUCUGUUUCUCAUUCAACAUUGUUGUGUCUUCUUUGCAGGCUCUCAGAUUAUUCUUUGAUGUGUAUUCUUGGAAAGUUGCAGGUAUGUCACCUUGAGUAGGUAAUUUCAGUUAAUGUUAUCUGAGAGCUUUCAGGUUGGCAUUAGAGAUGAUUUCUCCAUUAGCAUCACUAUAUAAUAGAUUUUUUCGGGAUAUGACUCGUCGUGCAUAUGACUGAUAAUUUUAGUAUACAACUCUGCACGAAUAACCCAUUUAACCAGCAACCAUGGAUGAAUUUUAGCAUGUUUAUCAAACAAAAAGAAUUACUUUCACUUUGAAGAAUGAUUUGAAGGUUUUGAUUUCCAUGAGAACCUGGUCUGGAAUAGGCAGGACGAGGAAACCAUCAGGACCACCUCUCAGGUUCAUUUCCUCCUACUCACCUAAGACUGGUCCCUCUCUCUCCCCUUUUUAGAUUGCUCAUGAAUGUGCUCAGGUCUUCUGUGAUUAUGAAUUUAUCUUCUUUGAGCCUGCAAUGCUGAUUUUUUUUCUAAAUUUUUCAUGGUAGAAAACAUUGUGCAUUCCUUUUUGCUUUUGGAUUAUUAUAUCAAUCUAAAAUUGAGAUCUUGAAACAGUCAUAUAUUUGGGUUUAUUGGGGUUUCAUAAACACUUUUGCUAUGAGCUGAUCCUAUUAUAAUUAAAGUGAUACAAAAGAUAGUCCAAAUUCCUACUCAACCAUGUCCCGUGUGUCCACCAGGAGUUGAUAUUGUGCCCGUGUAGCGCCGUCUGAAUAAUACAUUGUUUUAGAUAAAUGCAUGGGUCUCUUGUCCCCAAUAUGUUUAGAAAACUACUCCGGUGCUCCUUCUCUAAAAAUAUUUGUGAAUCUUAAAGCUGAAGCAGUUAAUAAGGUUAGGGGUAAAUACAGAGUAAACCUGAGAUUUUGCAUGGUUGCAUGCGUGGAUGCUAGAUAAUAUCUCCUAAUCACCCAACUCGAGAUUUUGUAUCUGCUAAUCAUGCGGAAUAGUAUACGGCGUGGCUAGUUCACGGCUUCACGCAGCAAAUAUCUCAUGUUUCUAUAUAUUUAGACCUAGAACUAGAACUAGAAAAGUAAACAAGAAAUAGAUUUAAGUGAAAAAAAACACAUGAGGAAGAUUGAUAAACAUGUCAGUGAUUUUAAUUUCAGUUUUUUGAAUUUUUUGGCCACCCUUCAAAAUCACUAAAAUUCGUAAAAUUUUAGCAUUUUAGAGACUCAAAAAAAUAUGGUUUUUCUAAAAUUUUUAGAUCUAAACAAAAUGAGUUUUUUUAAGAAGAAUAUGCAACAUAAAUAAUAAAAAAUGAGUAAGAAUUUUAUAUACACAUUAAAGCACAUGCACUAAAGUAAUGUGAAAUUUUGGAUUUUUUCGCCAGCUCCGAAAUUCAUAAAGUUUUGGCAAAAAAUUGAACUCAGGGCAUGCAUUUUUCGAAUAAAACAUUAUACUUUGCCAAUUGGUAUAUUGUACGAGUAGCACGUUCUUAUUUUAUAAUACUUAUUAGUAUUUAACGAACGCUCACAAUGGGAUUUUACGAAAAUAGUGAGCCGUAGAUUUGCAUGGACGCAUGCAUGCAGAGCGAACGACCCAGAGUUGGAUAUGAUGAAUGAAUUGACUAUUGACGAAUCCACCCCUAACCACAUUAACUACUUUUGCUUUGAGAUUCACAAAGUUUUUUUUAGUUAAGGAGUACCGGAGCAGAACUCAUAUGUUUAUUAUAUCUAUCUGAAAUUGAGAUCUUGAAAUAGUCAUAUUUUUGGAUUUAUUGGAGUUGCAUAAACACUUUUGAUAUGAGUUGAUCCUAUUAUAAUUAAAGUGGUACAAAAAAACAGUCUGAAUUCCUACUCAACCAGGCCCCUUGCGCCUACCAGGAGUUGAUCUUGUGCCCAUGCAGCGCCAUCUGAAUAAUGCACUGUUUUAACCUUGUACUGUCGAAGAUUUCACGAAUAAAAUAGUAUCCCAGUUAAGUUUAGUAACCUUGGGCAGUACUUGAACUAUUUGUAAGCUUAACUAAUUGAUAUAGUGGUCUGUUAGAAAGGAGUAUUACUUGUGAUAAAUUGAAUCGUCAAAUACUCAAAUCACCAUGUUAUCUAACUAAAAAAAGACGGAUAUCUACAAGAGUUUGAAUAUGCAACGCAUCAUGUUAAGAUUUUCUUGCAAGUUGCACUAGCUGACUGAAGAGUAUUAUUGGUUUUCCUUUGGUUGGACAGGUGCUUUGAAACAUUUGAUUGUACCAUGUCUGACUACAUUUGAAUUGGUUGCAGGAAAGCGAUGGAAUCAAUAGGUCUGCAACGCUGGCCUCAUCGGGUUGCCAUCCUAUUGUCCAUACCAUCUCUUUGCCUUAGACGCGCUCAGGAUGUUGGCAACCUUCUUGAGGAGAUUGAGCAACGCAGAGGAGAUGACAUCCCUCUCUAUCGGCAGCAUUCACAGGCUCAUGAUCUUCUCGAUAAGGUGACACAUUAGAUGAUCUGCUUCACAUCCCCAUUCUCACUUAAUUAGUGCUGACACGGAUACUUCAAAUAAUGGAGUUUGGUUUAAAGACUUUUGUAGUGGAUAAUAUCUAUUUUGAGUGUCUUAAUAGUUUUUCAUUGUUUUUGUUACGAAC
rnacentral:lncRNA from 1 species